rnacentral:autocatalytically_spliced_intron from 1 species
UUGAGCCCAGUGUGGGGAAAUUCACACGCCGAGGUUUUUAGAGGAGGGAGUCAGAACAAUCUAGCUCUCUUACUCGAC